CAGCAGUCGCCGCGGUAAUACGUAGGGUGCAAGCGUUAAUCGGAAUUACUGGGCGUAAAGCGUGCGCAGGCGGUUUGUUAAGACAGAUGUGAAAUCCCCGGGCUCAACCUGGGAACUGCAUUUGUGACUGGCAAGCUAGAGUGUGGCAGAGGGGGGUGGAAUUCCGCGUGUAGCAGUGAAAUGCGUAGAUAUGCGGAGGAACACCGAUGGCGAAGGCAGCCCCCUGGGCCAACACUGACGCUCAUGCACGAAAGCGUGGGGAGCAAACAGGAUUAGAUACCCCCGUAGUCCCUGUCUCUUAUAA
rnacentral:rRNA from 1 species